ensembl:lncRNA
GGCUGUCCUAGAAGUCGCAAAAUACGUCACCUAAUUUGCACAAUUGGCAAUGUGCAUGUAAUUGUGACGGAUGCUGUAGGAGAGAGGGAAAAACGCUGUAGGAGAGAGGGAAAAACGUCGUGGGAGAGACAAAAACAGCCUACAACAAGUCACACAAAAAAAAACAUUCUGGACGUGGAGGGGUGAACAUCUCCUGCUCUGACUGCAGCUGGGAAGGACUGCUGUGCUACGACUGGUGCCCCCAACAGGAUGGCACCAGCAGCGAUGAUGGCACCACCAAUGAGGAAGGGCUUCAGGCUUUCCAGGGAGUCUGUGCUGGCCUCUGCUGCCUCCUCCCCCUCUGGUGCCCCCUCUGGUUCAGCUGAGCCAUCCUCCACUGGAGGCUCUUCCACAGGGACCGCUGGGGGUGGAGGCUCUACUGGAGUGGGGUCAACCUUUUUAGGGGGAGCUGUCUCCUUCUUCUCCGUCUUCUCUGCUUUAGAGGAUGCCUUGGGCACUGGUGCCCCGCUCUUAGCCUUAGCUUCCAUAGGAUCCAGAAACAGGUGGGGUUGGUCAGAAGUGUCUUUCAGGUCAGCACUGCUUUACUGAUGGAAAACAGCAAACAGAGGCAGACAGAUAAUCACACAGAUUAGACUAUCUGCUCUACUGUCCCUUGGUGUUAUUAUACAGACAGGGAGCAUCAACAUACACAGGAAGUAUUUUACACCUCCUUAUUCACUGCAGAAUGAAGCAUCAUGUCAUCAUUUUUGCUUCAUGUCAGUAGAGACAGGGCCAUCAUGUGACCUUGACAGACAAGAUGACAUAAACAGAACCAUAUUAUCCCUGCUAUAUACAUUAUCUGGUUUGUUUAUUACAUCUGUAGAGCAAACUUCCAGUGCAAGCAACACUUUAAGUCCAGCAUCCUGUCAAGAGCAAUCUCAUGGGAAAGUUAACUGCACGUUUUGUAACAGACGGAGUAAUCACGCUGCUGCAGCUGCUAAAAAAAAGAGCCCAGUUGAGAGGUGCAUGCAUGUCUUCUGCACUCACCACACUGUCUGAUGUGUGUUAAUCCAGUCUCAGCAAGCAAUAAAUAUUCUCUGUAUAUUUAUUUAUUUCUCUCUCCCUGUCUAUCUCUAAAAUGGCAUGAGUCAUACAGUAUGUACUGUUAAUGGAGGUCAAGAUGGAGGAAAGCAGACAGGAAUAAGGAGAGGAGAGAGUAAUAACAUAGUGGAGAUACAGAAUGAUCCAAAGGCAGGAAAAUAAGAAAGAGAGAGAGAGGAAUUAAAGAAAAAACAGAGAGAUACUAAAACGGAUGCAUCUGAGGAUGCUCGAUGCUGGCACAGGAUAUGAAGAUAGGAG